rnacentral:lncRNA from 1 species
GGAUGGAGAGAAAUGGAGGAGGCUGUAAGGGGAGGGGGAGACAGAGUUGUCUCUCUCUCCCUCUCUCGCUCUUUUCUCCACCGCUUUAUUUCGUUCAUGUUCACAGCGCUGAUCUUCACCGUUGCUGCAGAGCGAAACGUAGAGUCGUGUCCCACUCAACCUCCCCCGUUUGCACUUUUGGGUACAGUAAACGGUGGGAUAAAAGACGGGCUGAAGUGAGUUGGUCAGACGGGCCUUGCCAAACCCACAGGCUGUUUCUGCCGCUCUGCUACCGCUGCGCUGUUUUUGAUGUGAGCCACAGUGCAGAUGCAGUGUUUUUUGGGCGAUCACCAAUAAGCUACCGUACUGGAGGAGAUGCUGGUAAAGUACGGGAGACCUUUCAAGAAAGCGAAUGCUGGUCUGGUGUGCCAAUAUUCGUGAGGGAUGUUUGGAGGUUGAAUGGGAAACCCAGUUUUUCUGUCAUUGGAGAGUAUGUGAAUGCCUAAAUGUAAACAUUUAUGUUGUUGGGGAACUUUCUGGAAACUUUUGUAAUUUGUUGCUCCCCAAAGUGUGGGAUGUUAUUUAAAGACUCGAUAUACUUCAAACAAAAUCAAAGAAUGAAUUGAAAUGACGUCAUUUUGAAUAAAAUCUGUGUGAAUAGCCAAUAUUUUUGAGUUCUUUUCAGCAGUUUGAAACAGCUCAUCAAAGUACAUUUUAAGGAGAAUUAAUUUUGGCUUUUAAACACAUUUUAGCUACCAUUGGUCUGUGGUGAUUAUGCAUUCAGUGGGCUUGUUCUUGAUCUCUGCCUUCUUAAACAUGCGAUAUCUUCCCCGGGAUUUGUUACUUAUUCCACGGGGGUCGGAAAGGAGACCAACAUCUAAAAUAACAACACAAGCUACAGUACAUAAAUACACUGGAGAGUCGAGUAGCAGAACUGGUACAGAUGUAUCCGCACCAGUAUGUCUGCUCACAGAGGGAUGCCCACCUUGCCACGUCACAUCUUUUUUAUGAGUUUGUGCACACCAGCUUUACAUUUAGUGUCUGUUCGCAACUAGUAGAAAAGAAUGUAAAGAUAUGAUGUGCCAGAUAUUUAUGAAACUGUUCCAUUGUUGUGAGUACACAUAAGCAGCACAUUUAAAAACCCUGCCUACUGCAGCGGGAGCGUGUUGGAGUGUAAAAAUAUACACUUUUUUUUUUAUUACACUAAAACUAUAACUCAUGAGAUAGCCAUUUUGAUAUUUUUGUAAUUUAAAGGUCCCGUGAAAUUAAAAUUAAGUUUUUUAGAUGUUAGUUUCAGUUUGUUAAUUUUAAAGGAUAUCUAUGAGCUAGCGUGUCCCAAAACAGUGACAAAAUUCGUGUUUAGAACAUAUAAACAUCCAAAGUUUGUAGUUUGUCACUUCCGCCUGAAUCGUCAAGGAUUUUUUCACAUCACCUCAUACUUCAGUUUUUCAUCAAAUCUGGCCAAUCAAAUGCUCUGUAGCAUCGGUCAUGCCUACCCCCUUCAAGACGCUUCUCAUUUGAUUUAAUGCACUUUCUGGGAGAGCUGUCAUAAAAACAAAAUGAUAUUUUUUUUGGCGCUUUUUUCUUGAAAGAGGAGAAGCUACUUUUUGCCCAUUCUUCAUUUUUCAGUUGUAAUUACAUCAAACACAGAAUAAAAAUGCACAUUUCAAAGCACUUUACGGGACUUUUAAUAACUUUAAAUGAAAUUUUAUUUAUUUAAUUACAGUACCCCGACUGUGUGUAUAUUUAUUUUAUACAUAGUUAUUUUGAUAAAGUUUUAAAACGCAAAAAAGUUCUGAGUAUUUCUACCUUCAAUGGCAAUGACAGUCACAUUGACCGCAUGCAUUUCAGCAUCUGCUACUUUUACCAUUGUAUGUGUGCUUCUGUUGCCUAGCAACUUUCUGCUAACAAAAAUAUUACUUUCUGAUAGCAAAAACAAAACUUUACUUUAGACAUGUCUUGCAAACAUUUUAAAACAACGUUUUCACCGGAGUGAAAAAUCUUUGCUUUCCUGCUUGCCAGACAAUGUAAGGUACACACCUUCAGGGGGGUCAAGCAACUUGUGCACAGUUUUAGAUAGGUAUAUUGACCAUACAAUAUGAUGACAGAUAUUCAAAGCUUAGUUCUAAGAUUUCAAUAGAAGCUUCAAAUGUAAAUUACAAAAAAAAAGAAAAAUAAUAAUAAUAAAUAAAUAAAUAAAAAAUAAAAUAAUAAUAAAUAAAUAAAUAAAUUUGGUACAGUCUUUUAUGAAUGGUCAUGUAUACUGCAUAUAUAUGAAUUGUAUAUGACUGGUAUGAAUGGUAAUUCCAGUGUUUAAGCGGAUAAAAUACUGACAGUAUACUAGUAGAUUGCAAAAAGUAGAUCACUAUUGAAUGACACAAAAAUUAAAACUCAUUAUUUAUUCUUUUUGUUCAAACCCCUAUUUAACUGACUUGUUAUCAAUUAUAUGGAUUACAUUUCAGAAUAACAUUUUAUAGAAGGAUAAAAGACAUUAAUCAAUGAUGUAAUUUAUCAUUUUUAAUUAUCGAUUUGUGUGGGUGUGACAAAUGAUCCACUACCAGCCGCAUUUAUUUGAUCAUAAUACAUCACUAAGCAGUGGUGUUGUGAAAUGUAGUUACACUGUAAAAUAAUGUUUUAUAUUUGAAUAUAUGUUAGAAAUUAUUAAUUAUUAAAUGACUAAUUUAUCAAUAAUAUUGAAUUUCCAGCAUUAUUAAUCAAUUUUAAAUGAUCUUUGAUGAGACAUUAUGCUAUUAUGCUGAUUUGAGGCUGAAAAAAAAUCCUAAAAUCAUCAACGCUAAAUGAUUAUUUCACCCAAAACCCAACAAAUAAUUUACUCACACUUCACGUUUUACAAAUUUCUUUCUUCUGUUAAACAAUAGAGGACAUUUUAAAAAUAGAAUUUUGAUGUCAGAAACUGGUUACCAUUGGCUUCCUUAGUAUUUGUUUUUCCUAUGGAUGUCAAUUGGUUACCAGUUUAUAAGAUUCUUCAAAUAUCUUUUGUGUGUGUUAAACAGAAGAAAAUGUUUUGAAACCACUUGAAGAUGAGAAAAUAGUCAGUCAAAUUUCAUUUGUUUUGUUAAACUCUCUUUUUAAAAACAGUAUAUAUAUAUUCAUAUUUUUUUAUGUGGAAACUGUGGCAGUGUAUAUCUGUUGUAUAUCUGUGUAUAUCUGUUGUUUUUGAAUUUUUACAUAUCAACCUCAAUCCAUUUACUGAACACAGUAAAACACUUUGUGAAGUACUUCAACAAAAUCUGUGUGAAAGUAUCUAUUAUAACUGCAGAAUAUCUAAAUGCAAUAUCCUGAGCCUUCCUUUGCAGUAUUUCUCUUCAACACCAGGUCCCUCUUUUGCACACAUAUAACCCUACGUGUCACUUCCAGCCAAAGCAUUUUAAAGACGUUGUACAAUUUUCAAUAAUGUUCCGCCAGUCCUAAAGGAGCUCAAUAACUCUAGGCCCACAGAGGCCACUGAAUCAGCAUUUCAAAGUGAAAACUCCUUUUCCACAAAGACCUUUGAAUUGAAAUAGAAAAAAAAAAAGUUUCUCCUUUCCAGCCGCACAAACUCAACUCUGAUUGACCCUUCUCAAUCUGUGCGCCUCUCUGUUGUAAAGAAACAGGCAUAAAAUAAGGCAGAGUUAAUAGAGUUUAGGACUAAGAGCCAAACCGCACUGGAAUAGGAUGGAGAUGGAAAGAGUCGAGGGAGGGAAAGAAGGAAAGAUUGAGAUCCCUCAGGGAGAGGGAUUGGGUCCGGGACGCCUGAGGAGAUACUCGCCUCUAAUUGGCCGAAUGCCUCCGGUCGGUUGUUCCCAUAAUGCCGUGUGUUGGAGUGACUUUCUGGAAAGUCUCACUGGACUCCUCAAGGUUACCGUCACUCUUCAGUGUUAUCGCUGCACUCUGAGCCACUGUAGCAAAUCUGCUUUUAGCCGAGCGCCGAUGAACUACUGAGAAUAUGAAUAUUCAAAAAGUGGAACGGGUGCUUGUACAACUCCAACACAAGCAGGUUUUCAUUAGUUCAAGGUCUCAAAUGCUGCUGGUUGAAAGGUUGAAGGAAUUAUUUCUAAAUCUCUUUAAAAUACAUUUGUUAUGCUAACCAAAGCUGCAGUUAUUAAAUCAUAAAUACAUUAAAAACGGUAAUGUUCUGA